GGCAAAGUGGCCGAGCGGUCUAAGGCGCUGGUUUUAGGCACCAGUUCGAAAGAGCGCGAGUUCGAAUCUCGUCUUUGUCA